UGUAAAUGAAAAAUUAUAUAUUUAAGUAACCAGCCAGCGUAGUGCAGAGUGAAAAAAUUAUUAAUAAUAAAUAUAGUUCUAGGUAGAAUAUUGAUAAUGACAGCUUUCUAUCUACAUGUCUUGACCAAAUCUUGUGCCAGCAGUCGCGGCAACACAAGGAAGACUAGUGUUAUUCAUCUUUAAUCGGUUUAAAGGGUACCUAGACGGUAGAUUAAUCUUAAUAAGGUACUUGAUUUACUAGAGUUAUACAUGCGGGAGGAAAAUGUCAGAAUUACCAGAGUAGAGAUGAAAUUCUUUCAUACUGUUAAGACUGGUAACGGCAAAGGCAAACCUCUAUAUAUUAACUGACGUUGAGGGACGAAGGCUUGGGGAACAAACAGGAUUAGAUACCCUAAUAGUCCAGGCAGAGAA
rnacentral:rRNA from 1 species